rnacentral:rRNA from 1 species
GACGAACGCUGGCGGCGUGCUUAACACAUGCAAGUCGAACGGAAAGGCCCUGCUUUUGCGGGGUGCUCGAGUGGCGAACGGGUGAGUAACACGUGAGUAACCUGCCCUUGACUUUGGGAUAACUUCAGGAAACUGGGGCUAAUACCGGAUAGGAGCUCCUGCUGCAUGGUGGGGGUUGGAAAGUUUCGGCGGUUGGGGAUGGACUCGCGGCUUAUCAGCUUGUUGGUGGGGUAGUGGCUUACCAGGGCUUUGACGGGUAGCCGGCCUGAGAGGGUGACCGGCCACAUUGGGACUGAGAUACGGCCCAGACUGCUACGGGAGGCAGCAGUGGGGAAUAUUGCACAAUGGGCGGAAGCCUGAGGCAGCAACGCCGCGUGCGGGAUGACGGCCUUCGGGUUGUAAACCGCUUUCGCCUGUGACGAAGCGUGAGUGACGGUAAUGGGUAAAGAAGCACCGGCUAACUACGUG